UACAGAGGGGGCAAGCGUUAUUCGGAAUUAUUGGGCGUAAAGAGCGUGUAGGCGGCCAGACAGGUCCGUUGUGAAAACUAGAGGCUUAACCUCUAGACGUCGAUGGAAACCGUCUGGCUAGAGUCCGGAAGAGGAGAAUGGAAUUCCUGGUGUAGCGGUGAAAUGCGCAGAUAUCAGGAAGAACACCCGUGGCUAAGGCGGUUCUCUAGUACGGUACUGACGCUGAGACGCGAAAGCGUGGGGAGCGAACAGG
rnacentral:rRNA from 1 species